GGAUAACCGACAGAUGCGAAACUGCCAGAUUGUGUCCCUGAGGCUCUCAGAAAUCUGUCAGCUUGCAAGGAGAACACAAAAGCAGCUUCAAAGAGAACGUAGGUGACCACAGCCUCUGACGUCUUGCAGGUUGGCACGGACUUCUGAGGGCCCGCUGUGCAUCUCUCCGCCUUGUUCCGGGCAAGGCCUCUCUUCCCUGCUACAAGAGCAGUCUGACCAAGGAAAUCAUGGAGCUCACCUGCCCUUAGUCAAGACCCACCCUGCCAUUCCCGUGCUGGGGCUUACUUCUAUGCUUCCCAGGAUGGCCAAAUCCCUUGUGUUCAGGUCUCCAAAAUGCUUUAGAACUCAAUCGAUUAGACUUAAAUUACAACCACUUUCCUUCCUGAGAUUGCUCUCAGUCAUCUAUCAGUGUUCGGGGUAUCCUCAAACUUUCAGGCAAUAAAUUUACAACUUCAGGGUUUCCUUUCCUGGUUAGCUAAUCAUCCAUUACAUGUGAUUUUACUGGGCUAAAGGCAAACAUUUCCUGUCACUUAGGUGUGCAGGCCGUAUUAGGCAAAGUAGCCCUGGGUCACGUAGGCCCAUGUGCUCUCGUGAGCAGAAGCUACCUGCCUUGCUCAAAACCAAGGAAUAUUUCCUUACCAAGUCCUGAGUUGUUGUUGUUGUUUUUUAAAGAUUUUAUUUAUUUAUUUGACAGAGAGAUAGAUCACAAAUAGGCAGAGUAGGGGCGCCUGGGUGG